rnacentral:rRNA from 1 species
UACGUAGGGUGCGAGCGUUGUCCGGAAUUACUGGGCGUAAAGAGCUCGUAGGUGGUUUGUCGCGUUGUUCGUGAAAACCGGGGGCUUAACCCUCGGCGUGCGGGCGAUACGGGCAGACUGGAGUACUGCAGGGGAGACUGGAAGUUCCUGGUGUAGCGGUGGAAUGCGCAGAUAUCAGGAGGAACACCGGUGGCGAAGGCGGGUCUCUGGGCGAGUAACUGACGCUGGAGGAGCGAAAGCGUGGGGAGCGAACAGG